rnacentral:rRNA from 1 species
GGGUCAGUAGGUUGGUCGUGCCACCGGUACGUACUGAUCUCACUGAUUCCUCCUUCCUGAGGAACCGUAAUGCCAUUAAUUUGGUGUUGCGGGGAAACAGGACUGUUACUUUGAAAAAAUUAGAGUGUUUAAAGCAAGCUAACGCUUGAAUACAUUAGCAUGGAAUAAUGAAAUAGGACGAUCGAUCCUAUUUUGUUGGUUUCUAGGAUUGACGUA